AUUGAACGCUAGCGGGAUGCUUUACACAUGCAAGUCGAACGAGGGGCGGACGGGUGAGUAAUAUAUCGGAACGUGCCCAGUAGCGGGGGAUAACUACUGGAAAGAGUGGCUAAUACCGCAUAGUAUGGGAGCGGCCGAUAUCGGAUUAGCUAGUGGGUGGGGGAAAGGCUCACCAAGGCAACGAUCCGUAGCUGGUGUGAGAGGACGACCAGCCACCCUGGGACUGAGACACGACCCAGACUCCUACGGUAGGCAGCAGUGGGGAAUUUUGGCCAAUGGGGGAAACCCUGAUCCAGCCAUCCCGCGUGUAUGAGAAGGCCUUCGGGUUGGAAAGUACUUUUGGCAGAGAAGCGGUAUCUGCAGAAUAAGCACCGGCUAACUACGUGCCAGCAGCCGCGGUAAUUC
rnacentral:rRNA from 1 species